CAGUCGCCGCGGUAAUACGAAGGGUGCAAGCGUUACUCGGAAUUACUGGGCGUAAAGCGUGCGUAGGUGGUGGUUUAAGUCCGUUGUGAAAGCCCUGGGCUCAACCUGGGAAUUGCAGUGGAUACUGGGUCACUAGAGUGUGGUAGAGGAUAGUGGAAUUUCCGGUGUAGCAGUGAAAUGCGUAGAGAUCGGAAGGAACAUCUGUGGCGAAGGCGACUAUCUGGGCCAACACUGACACUGAGGCGCGAAAGCGUGGGGAGCAAACAGGAUUAGAUACCCGCGUAGUCCCUGUCUCUUAUAC
rnacentral:rRNA from 1 species